CUGAGUGUGUUUGAUGUGUGCUCAAUGUGUAAUUAGCAUGUGUCUAAUCAAUCAGUAAUUAGCGUGUGUUUAAUGUGUAAUUAGCGUGUGUUUAAUCUGUCAUUAGCCUGUGUUUACUCUGUCAUUAGCGUGUGUUUAAUGUGUCUUUAGCAUGUGUUUAUGUGUCAUUAGCGCAUGUUUAGUCUGUCAUUAGCGUGUGUUUAAUCAAUCAGUAAUUAGCGUGUGUUUACUCUGUCAUUAGCGUGUGUUUAAUCUGUAAUUAGCGUGUGUUUAGUCAGUAAUUAGCGUGUGUUUAGUCAGUAAUUAGCGUGUGUUUGAUCUGUCAUUAGCGUGUGUUUAAUGUGUCUUUAGCAUGUGUUUAUGUGUCAUUAGCAUGUGUUUACUCUGUCAUUAGCGCAUGUUUACUCUGUCAUUAGCGUGUGUUUAAUGUGUCAUUAGCGUGUGUUUACUCUGUCAUUAGCAUGUGUUUAAUGUGUCAUUAGCGUGUGUUCAUGUGUCAUUAGCGUGUGUUUACUCUGUCAUUAGCGUGUGUUUAUGUGUCAUUAGCGUGGGUUUAGUCUGUCAUAAGCGUGUGUUUAUGUGUCAUUAGCGUGUGGGUCCGUGGCCCCGGUGUCUCAGGUGUGCUCAGAGCUCUCUCACGUGUUCGUUGUGUGUUCGACGUGCACACGUGAGCUCCAGGUGUGGGUCGUGUCCUUGGCUCACCCUCAGCGUGUCCAGGUGUGUUUCACCUCCACCAGGUGUGUUCCCUGUCCAGGUGUUUCCAUGUCCAGGUGUGUUCCAUGUCCAGGUGUGUUCCCUGUCCAGGUGUUUUAGGCAUGGUUUUGGUGUGUUUUUUGUGUGUUUUAGGCAUGAUUUUGGUGUGUUACUUGUGUGUUUUUGGACAUGGUUUUGGUGUGUUUUUUGUGUGUUUUAGGCAUGGUUUUGCCGUGUUCCUGCCCUGGUUUUGCCUUGUUUUUGCAUGUUUUUGUCCAUGUUUUUGCCGUGUUCCUGCCAUGUUCCCGCCGUGUUUUUCCCCUGUUUUUGGUGUGGUUUUGCCAUGUUCCUGCCCUGUUUUUGUCCAUGUUUGUGCUAUGUCCUUGCUGUGGUUUUGCUGUGGUUUAGGUGUUUUUGCCAUGUUCCUGCUGUGGUUUUGCCAUGGUUUUGGUGUGUUUUUGUGUGUUCCUGCCCUGUUUUGUCCAUGUUUGUGCCAUGUCCCUGCCGUGUCCCUGCCAUGUUUUUGCCGUGUUCCUGCCGUGUUCCUGCCCUGUUUGUGUCCGUGUUUUUGCCAUGUCCCUGCCGUGUUUGUGCCGUGUCCCUGCUGUGUUUUUGCCGUGUCCCUGCCAUGUUUUUGCCGUGUUCCUGCCGUGUUCCUGCCCUGUUUGUGUCCGUGUUUUUGCCGUGUCCCUGCUGUGUAUUUGCCAUGUCCCUGCCGUGUUUGUGCCGUGUCCCUGCCGUGUUCCUGCUCUGGUUUUGUCCAUGUUUGUGCCGUGUCCCUGCCGUGUUUGUGCCGUGUUCCUUCCCUGUUUGUGCCGUGUUUUUGCCAUGUCCCUGCUGUGUUCCUGCCAUGUCCUUCCCUGUUUGUGUCCGUGUCUGUGCCGUGUCCCUGCCGUGUCUGUGCCGUGUCCCUGCCGUGUUCCCGUGCCGUGUCCCGGUGCCGGUGCCGUGCCCGGCCGUUCCCUCGGGCGGCUCCGCCGGCGGCUGCAAAGCAAAGCUGGGGGAGGGGCCGGGGGGUUCCGGGGGUCCCGCGACGGCGCCUGGGGAGAGACGGGGUCACCCCAACCCCCCCGGGACCCCCGGGGCAGCCCGGGGCUCACGGCGCCGGGACG
rnacentral:lncRNA from 1 species